rnacentral:rRNA from 1 species
UACAGAGGGUGCGAGCGUGUUCGGAAUUAUUGGGCGUAAAGCGCAUGUAGGCGGCUUGUUAAGUCACGUGUGAAAGCCCCAGGCUCAACCUGGGAAGUGCGCGUGAAAACUGGCGAGCUUGAAUCCUGGAGAGGGUGGCGGAAUUCCCGGUCGUAGAGGUGAAAUUCGUAGAUAUCGGGAGGAACACCAGAGGGCGAAAGGCGGCCACC